AUGCUGUGGCACAGGACUGCAGUCAUGGAGCCACCUGAAGAACUCAUUUUAAACAUUCAAAGGACACUGGUCAACUUCUUCUGGAGUGGACAGCACUGGAUCCGUGCAGCUGCCCUGUAUAUUCCAGUCCAGGAGGGUGGGCAAGGCUUGGUGGAUUUGAGGAGUCGGAUCCGAGCCUUCAGAUUACAGUCUGUGCAGAGACUUCUUUAUAAAGAUGUGACAUGGGCCAAAACAGCAAGUGCUUUGCUGAAGCAGGCAGGAGGACUUGGUCUAGACAAACACUUGUUUUUAAUGAAAUUAGAGGAAAUAAGCCUGUCAGAGCUUCCACCGUUUUAUAAGUUUAUGCUGCAGACAUGGAGAACUGUUUUUAAAGUGAAACGAGACAUAGAUGAGCAAGAACAUUGGACUCCAGAGGAACCGUUGUUUUUUAAUCCGUUGAUCCAGACUCGAUUGCUCUCCUCCGUGACUGUGCGGAGAUGCUUAAUAAGGAAUGGCGUCUACAAACUUGGACAUCUUCUUGAUGAGAGGGGCUGGAAACCUACUGAAGUACUCCAAGAGUUGACGGGUUUAAGGUCCUUGCGUCUUGUUUUUAAACUGAAAGAAGAGAUCUCCAAUGCGCUACCAAGUGGCUGCAGGUCUUGGAUUGCACGGAGACAAACACUGGACAUGAGAAAUAACCAAGACUUUCCAGACAUUAAGAUCUCACCUAUCAUAAAUGAGGAAGAUGGUGAAAUUGCGGACUCGAUUUUAUCCUUCACGACCCCCCAGCUUGAUCUUUUUAAAGAUGCGUCUAAGAAAGCUUUAUAUUGCACUUCAGUGAAAAUGACACACCAAGAAUCACUAAAAGGAAUAAAAGCAUCUAAAUGGCCUGAACUGCUACAGCCAGACUUCCUGGUGCGGGACAGGUGGAGGACGCUGUAUAAACCCCCGGUAGAGAAGAGAACGGCAGACCUCCAGUGGAGGAUCAUCCACGGGGCCAUCGCUACGGACCGGCAUGUGGCGCACCUCAAUCCAGCAGUGGGGGGGGAAUGUCGGUUCUGUGGGAUUGAGGAAAACCUGGAGCAUUUGUUUUUAAAGUGUAACAGAUUACAAGGUCUUUUUAAUUUGCUUGAGAUUUGUUUUAGAAGAUUCAAUGAGGAUUUUUCUGAAGUAGUUUUUAUUGGGGGUCUGAAAUACAGUUUUUUAAUGAGAAGGAAAAUGGUUUUACUAAAUUAUUUGAUAGGAACUGCCAAACUGGCAAUCUGGAAAACCAGAAAAAACAAAGGUUUGCAACUCUCUACAAUAAAUCCUGAAAUGAUGUUUAGGCAUCUGGUGCAAGGAAGGCUGAAACUUGAAUUUGCAUAUUACAAACUUACUAAUAAUUUGGUGUGGUUUUGCGAUGUUUGGUGUUUUAAUGAGGUGCUAUGUACAGUUCAGGAUGAUCAGCUUGUUGUGAAUUUUUAG
ensembl:lncRNA